rnacentral:rRNA from 1 species
UCUAAGUCAGCCACGAAUAGGCUAUCCCAACUAACGGCGGGAAAGACUCCACGGAGGGUGUAAGACCCGUGUGGGCGCGUGUCAAAGCUGUGCGGGCUCGGCCUCUUUUCCCUGAGAGUCGCGUUGCUUGAGCAUGCAGCGCUAAGCAGGUCGUAAACUCGAUCUAAGGCUAAAUAUCUCCACAGAACCGAUAGCGAACAAGUACCGUGAGGGAAAGUUGAAAAGCACUCUGGAGAGAGAGUCAAAAGACCGUGAAACCGCUCAGAGUAUAAGCCCAUGGCAGCUUGGAAGGCAUAUCGCUAGCGGGGCAUCGGUCUCCCUUCACGGGGAGCUGGUGUUACCUUGCUUCUGUUGUGGCUCGUUAUGGUAGGGGGGUCAAGUCCACAUCCCGCCGUCGUGUGGGGAGUUCUCGGGCGUGUCGUUGCUUUGCGGUUGACUUCGGUUGGCCGUAGGGCUCUUCGCGCUUGGUUCUCCUUUGGACACGGACGUUCAGACUCAGUUGCAAGACGCGAUAACCAGCCCACCACGGCACGUUGUGAGGUCACCCACAGGCUUGGCUUUCGAUUGUGGUCCUUGACGCCGAGCAAGCACAAUGCGUGUCGCAGAUGUUCCUAACCGGGCAAUGGGCCAGGAUCGUGGAACGACACGCGCUCAAAAGUCAGGACCGGGCGAUGACAAAGUUCUGGUAUGAUCCUCAUGCGACGAGCCGGCUUCUGGCCGAUUCCGAUGCUCAGGUCUCCCGCAUGUGCCGCGGGAGAUCGCUUUGGCGGUCUGGAUCUCAAAGAAUCCUCUCAGCCGGGCAACGGAAAGAGUGGUGUAAAGUCCAAGCCCAUCGGUCACGUCUCGAAACACGGGCCAAGGAGUAUAGCAUGUGUGCAAGUCUAAGGGUCUCACAAAACCCGAAGGCGAAGUGAAAGCAAGUAAGCGGCGGGUGAUCUACGGAGAGAUCCCGUCAGCUAGAGGGGCCCUU